rnacentral:tRNA from 1 species
AAAGUCUUAAGUUAAAAAAACUAUUAACCUUCAAAGUUAAACAUAUAUAAAAUAAUAUAGACUUUA